ensembl:lncRNA
GGAGCUUGCCUCAUAACACUGAACAUCAAAAAUGCAUCAGAGGCUCAUCUUCCCACAUAAUCAAGAAUUUGCUCACUGUUUGUACUACAGCCAGGCAGAAGUUGGAGAUGCCAUCAACAAAGGAGAUGCCAUCAACAAAGCCAUCAACAAAGACUGAGAAACGACAGAGAAACAGUCCAUUCCACCAUGCCUUGUCCUCAGUCUGUCAGGAAUAGUGAGAGAGAGCAAGGCUAACAAGGAAAGUGCACUGGGUCACUGCCAUUGCAUGGGAAGAUCACAGAUGGAAAGAUAUAUACUGAAAUCGUCGGCUGCUCCAUUCAGCCACCCCUCCUGGCCGGCGUCUCUGUGGGCAGAGAAGGCAUCAGCGCUUCUGUGCAGCCUGAAAUAAAUGAUGAGAGAAGUGCCAUCAUCCGACUGACAGCCUGCCUGCUGGAUGCUCAUACAAGAAGCCUUUCUUUUCCAUUUCGUCAAUUCUUCUUUGGUACAAAACAAAAAUCAGUCAUGACUCACUACAAAUUUACAACUUUCCCAAUUUGGAAGUCCAGCUUUUAAGCCCCCUUUCAACAUGCUGUCCUAACUCGGGCCUCAGGUCUGGAGCACAGAAUCCCUCCCCGUGGUCUAUCAACACAGCCAAGAGACGGUCUGUCCGAAGCCAGAGCUACAGCCACCCCCGAGAAGAGUUUCUCUCCAUUAGAAUUUGUAGUCAAAGGCCCCAGCGUGUUCCGGUUCUGGAAUCUCAUUUCAUUUCUGCCGUGCACUUUGCAGGCUGUGGAGAAACCUGGCCGUCCCCACCUGAAGCAAGAGAUCAAAGUUCACAUCACUGAUACUGGAACCAAGAGAGAUCGCGUGCCUCCUGAUAUGAUGCUCUGAGAAGGACAUGACUUCCCUUCCUUGAUAUUCUUGCCAAAAAUGCAUAACCUGGAUUUAAAUCACAAGGAAUCAUCACAUAAACCCAAAUUAAGAACAUUCUAGAAGAUAACUGGCCAGUACUUUUCAAAAGUGAAAAGGUCAUGAGAGACAAAUUAAAACUGAAGAAUUAUUCCAGAUGAAAGGAGACCAAGGAGACACGACAAUUGAAUGCAAUGUGUCUUCCUGGACUGGAUCCUGGGCCUAAAAAAGGGCAUUAGUGGAAAAACUGGCAAAAUUUUGAAUUAAGUCUACAGAUUAGAUAAUAGUAUUGUAUCAAUGUUAAUUUCCUAGUUCUGCUCAUUGUAUUCUAGGUUGUAUAAAAUGUCAACAUUUAGGCGAAUCUGGGUGAAGGGUGUA